ACGGUUUUUCCCUAAAGACCAUCUUAAAAAAAGGAAAAGAAGAGACUGGAAAAAAAAACAAUCUCCUUGGUCCUUGCUGACUCCAUCGGUCACUCCAAUGCGAUGCGAGCCCAUCAACCUUUUCGCUCACCAGCAGCCGCUGCUGCGGCCGCAAUGGCCACUCGUUCCAGUUCUUUGGCGUCGGCCAGCCACGGCCGCCGCCUCAACGCCGCCGUAUCUUCAACGUCACCGGCGGCAUCCGACGAGGUGCCAUCGAAGGUGCCGUCGAACGGCGCCUCGCAGAAGGCCAUCGUGGCCACGAGCCUAUCCACCGGCCGCUUCUUCGUCUUCGCGGCUGCGGCCAGCCUCGCCGGGGCCUCGGGGACGUUCGUUGCGCAGGCGCGGCCUCCGACAGCGGCACCUGGCGACAGAGCCCAGGCGCCGUCGAACGGCGCCUCGCAGAAGGCCAUCAUGGCCGCGACCCUCUCCAUCGGCCACUUGGCGGCCAGCAACGCCAACCUCGACGGCGCAGCCUUGGGAACGUUGGAUGAGGAUGGGCUGUUCCCGGCGGCAAGCGACGACGCAGCCGAGGUGCGGUCGAACGGUGCCUCGCUGAAGGCCACCAUGGCAAUGAGGCUCUCCAUCUCCAUCGCCGCUACCUCGAGUCUGUUCGAUUGGUU
rnacentral:misc_RNA from 1 species